AACGAACGCUGGCGGCAGGCCUAACACAUGCAAGUCGAACGCCCUAGCAAUAGGGAGUGGCAGACGGGGUGAGUAAACACGUGGGAACCUUCCCUAUAGUACGGAAUAGCUCAGGGAAACUUGAAGUAAUACCGUAUACGCCCGAGAGGGGAAAGAUUUAUUGCUAUAGGAUGGGCCCGCGUCGGAUUAGCUAGUUGGUGAGGUAAUGGCUCACCAAGGCGACGAUCCGUAGCUGGUUUGAGAGAACGACCAGCCACACUGGGACUGAGACACGGCCCAGACUCCUACGGGAGGCAGCAGUGGGGAAUAUUGGACAAUGGGCGCAAGCCUGAUCCAGCCAUGCCGCGUGAGUGAUGAAGGCCUUAGGGUUGUAAAGCUCUUUUAGUCAGGGAAGAUAAUGACUGUACCUGCAGAAUAAGCUCCGGCUAACUCGUGCCAGCAGCCGCGGUAAU
rnacentral:rRNA from 1 species